UACGUAGGUGGCAAGCGUUGUCCGGAUUUAUUGGGUUUAAAGGGUGCGUAGGCGGCUUUGUAAGUCAGUGGUGAAAUAUGGCAGCUCAACUGUCAGGGUGCCAUUGAUACUGCGGAGCUUGAGUACAGAUGAGGUAGGCGGAAUUGACGGUGUAGCGGUGAAAUGCUUAGAUAUCGUCAAGAACACCGAUAGCGGAGGCAGCUUACUGGGCUGUAACUGACGCUGAGGCACGAAAGUGUGGGGAUCAAACAGG
rnacentral:rRNA from 1 species